UCCAGUGCCUGAACAUCAACACAGCUUCCUAACCAAGCGCAAGUACAUGCUGGGAACGCUGCUAAGAUGCAAGAUGAGGCUUUCUUCACGUGCGCUCUGUACUGACAAAUGGUCAGCGAUCCACAGGUGACUGAUAAAGCACCCACCGCCCUCUCCUUUUGGCUUUCAGCUCUUGGUAUGUCACCUCUCCCCGAGAUGGAGGGAGCUGCAGGAACUUGCUGGUGUGUGACUGUCUGGUCGCACGUACGCUUACUUUGCAACUGCAAGCUGGUUCCUGUGCAUGAUCUGAGAGCUGGGCACAGAGCAAUUACCUGUUAAGGAAAUGAAGUGGAUGCUGCCUGAGGCUGUUUAUUGCUCAGCCCUGUUGGCAGGUACAAAGGAUCUCCACAGAAGCCAUCCAUCACUGGAGCCGCUGCUCCCUGCGAGCACAAUGCAGCCUUAUUUCUGAAUAUAAAGCAGAGAUUUUGUGAAGCUCACCAGCACUUCCAGUGCCAGGUUGAUGCAGUGUCCCACUGCAGAACUAGAAAGCUACUGUUUAGGAGCUGUGAAGUAAAUUAAAGGAGGUCACAACGUGCACUGUGUCUCAGCUGUGAGUUUGAGUGAGAAACAAAGGAUGGUUGUUGCUCCCAGGACCUGUCAGUGAGCACAGUCACCGUCAUGGGCCUGGUGUCGGGAUUGCCACAUUGGAACCGUGGCGCUCAAGCCUGGUGUUUUGCCUCAGUCCCUUGCAAAGGAUCUUUCCAAGGGGAAAUGGAUCCUGACAACUGGCAGCUUCUGCCACUGUCACAAGGAGAAAAUUAUUCCCAGUGGGGAGAGCUCAGCUCAGCAGCUGAGAAGUACCUAGAGACAACUGGAAAAACUCCCCAGCAAAGUCUGUCACCUAGAUCAUGUUACCGCAGCUGGAGCUCGAGGACUCGGUGAUGCUACAUGCUGCCCCUCAAACUUCAUGUCGAUUGUAUACAAGCUGGUUUGUGAAGUCAGUCUGGACCAGCAAUAAGCUGCAUCAUUUAUUUCCCUGCUGCCCUCUCCCUGGAGACUGGCCACAUCCUCCUCACAAGUGGUGCAACUCCGAACCUCUAUACCCUCUGAAUUUCUUUCAGCUCUUCAUUUAAACAAUUCUCACGUUGCAUUAUGUCUUUUUCUGAAGAAGGUAAGGAAGGCAGUCCUCUCAGCCUGGGUUUACCAACCCCCGUUACCACAGGCUGGCUCACAGCUUUCUGUGCCAUCCCCGCUGUUCGCUGCCCCCAGAGCUCACUUGACACCCUGAACCCCACCAGCUCUGCUUGCAGCGCCCCGGCCUGGGCUCACCCCCCGCAUCCUGAGCCCCAAGGGUCCCCCUUCUCCUCCGGGGCAGCCCUGUCUGCCUGCCCACCCCCACGCAGGGCUGCCCCUCAAUUCCCAAUCCCAUCUCCUCCUUUUCCGGGGGCUCCACAAACCCCUGAGGUGCAGGGUGGGGAGGUGUGGAGAGGCAGCAGGACCCCCUGAA